rnacentral:rRNA from 1 species
CCUAGAACUAAUCUAAGGUGAAGCCUGCCCAGUGACUUAAAAAGCACCAUAAAAAUUGCGAAAAAAGUUAAAAGGACGCGGUAACCUGACCGUGAUAAUGUAGCAUAAUCAAUAGCCAUUUAAUUGGUGGAUAGAAUGAAUGGUCAAACGAAUCCUUCACUUUCUUUAGAAAAGAAGAAAUAAAAUUAAAAUAAUAGUUAAGAUGCUAUUUAAAAUUGUAAGACGAAAAGUCCCUAUAGAGCUUAACUACAAACUUUCUAAAAAGAAAUUUAGGUAGUUUAGUUGGGGCGACUACCUUUUAAUAAAAACAAAGGUGAGUAAAAUUUAAUAAAAAUAAUACUGUAUAAAAAAUAAAUUUAACAGUUACUAAAGUAGACUAUAAUGACCCGUUCAACCAAUACGGCUUAAAGAACGAUCAACAAAUAAAAGCUACCUUAGGGAUAACAGGAUAAUUUUGUUAUAGAGACCUUAUCAAAAACAAAGUUUGUCACCUCUAUGUUGAAUUAAGAUAUCCUAGUAAGGCAGCACUUACUAAAGGUAGGUCUGUUCGACCUUUAAAAU